UACAGAGGUCUCAAGCGUUGUUCGGAUUCAUUGGGCGUAAAGGGUGCGUAGGCGGCGCGGUAAGUCGGGUGUGAAAUCUCGGAGCUUAACUCCGAACUGCAUUCGAUACUGCCGUGCUUGAGGACUGGAGAGGAGACUGGAAUUUACGGUGUAGCGGUGAAAUGCGUAGAUAUCGUAAGGAAGACCAGUGGCGAAGGCGGGUC
rnacentral:rRNA from 1 species